rnacentral:rRNA from 1 species
GAUGAACGCUAGCGGCAGGCCUAAUACAUGCAAGUCGAGGGGUAGUGGAGCUUGCUCCAUGAGACCGGCGCACGGGUGCGUAACGCGUAUGCAACCUACCUUUAUCUGGGGGAUAGCCCGAAGAAAUUCGGAUUAACACCGCAUAAAAUCACAGUAUCGCAUGGUACAAUGAUCAAAUAUUUAUAGGAUGAAGAUGGGCAUGCGUGUCAUUAGUUAGUUGGCGGGGUAACGGCCCACCAAGACCGCGAUGACUAGGGGAUCUGAGAGGAUGGCCCCCCACACUGGUACUGAGACACGGACCAGACUCCUACGGGAGGCAGCAGUAAGGAAUAUUGGUCAAUGGAGGCAACUCUGAACCAGCCAUGCCGCGUGCAGGAAGACAGCCCUCUGGGUCGUAAACUGCUUUUAUUCGGGAAUAAACCUACUUACGUGUAAGUAGCUGAAUGUACCGAAAGAAUAAGGAUCGGCUAACUCCGUGCCAGCAGCCGCGGUAAUACGGAGGAUCCAAGCGUUAUCCGGAUUUAUUGGGUUUAAAGGGUGCGUAGGCGGCCUGUUAAGUCAGGGGUGAAAGACGGUAGCUCAACUAUCGCAGUGCCCUUGAUACUGAUGGGCUUGAAUACACUAGAGGUAGGCGGAAUGUGACAAGUAGCGGUGAAAUGCAUAGAUAUGUCACAGAACACCGAUUGCGAAGGCAGCUUACUAUGGUGUCAUUGACGCUGAGGCACGAAAGCGUGGGGAUCAAACAGGAUUAGAUACCCUGGUAGUCCACGCCCUAAACGAUGAAUACUCGCUGUUAGCGAUAUACAGUUAGCGGCUAAGCGAAAGCGUUAAGUAUUCCACCUGGGGAGUACGCCCGCAAGGGUGAAACUCAAAGGAAUUGACGG